rnacentral:rRNA from 1 species
CUCAGGCGCCCUCCCUAAAUAAUGAUACACAUGCAUAUCGAACGGCAGCACGGGAGCAAUCCUGGUGGCGAGUGGCGAACGGGUGAGUAAUACAUCGGAACGUGUCCUGUAGUGGGGGAUAGCCCGGCGAAAGCCGGAUUAAUACCGCAUACGCUCUGCGGAGGAAAGCGGGGGAUCCUUCGGGACCUCGCGCUACAGGGGCGGCCGAUGGCAGAUUAGCUAGUUGGUGGGGUAAAGGCCUACCAAGGCGACGAUCUGUAGCUGGUCUGAGAGGACGACCAGCCACACUGGGACUGAGACACGGCCCAGACUCCUACGGGAGGCAGCAGUGGGGAAUUUUGGACAAUGGGCGCAAGCCUGAUCCAGCAAUGCCGCGUGUGUGAAGAAGGCCUUCGGGUUGUAAAGCACUUUUGUCCGGAAAGAAAACCUCGUGGUUAAUACCCGUGGGGGAUGACGGUACCGGAAGAAUAAGCACCGGCUAACUACGUGCCAGCAGCCGCGGUAAUACGUAGGGUGCAAGCGUUAAUCGGAAUUACUGGGCGUAAAGCGUGCGCAGGCGGUUCGCUAAGACAGAUGUGAAAUCCCCGGGCUUAACCUGGGAACUGCAUUUGUGACUGGCGGGCUAGAGUAUGGCAGCGGGGGUAGACUCCACGUGUAGCAGUGAAAUGCGUAGAGAUGUGAGGAUACCGAUGGCGAAUGCAGCCCCUGGGCCAUACUGACGCUCAUGCACCGAAAGCGUGGGGAGC